GAAGAGCUACAACCAUCCAAUCUACACUCAGCAACGUGGGCUUGUAGUCAUGUGCUCAGCCACUUAUCGAAUGCCUAUUAUAUGCUGGCCACGGUCUCGUUCACUGGAGCAUGGGCUCUUCUAUCCCAUGGCUUGUGUUCCCGUGACCCUGAUAGCAGGAGAAGGGCUUGUUAAAUGUGAAGAACAGCUUGGUAACCGAGACCAGGAGGAAAUGGAAGCGUCUGCAGCUGCCAGCAGUGUAAUUGAUGCAUCUUAAGAUUACAGAGAUCGAGAGUGGUGGGUCUAGGAGUCUGCUGCUGGUCUUCCUAGCUCCUGCUUUACUGAGUCUCCUACGUCAGCAGCACUCAGCCUUCUCUCCUUGUUGAAUUAAACAGAAGCAGAGAGUCCGGCUAGACGGAAGAGAACAAUCCUUCAUGUUCCUGCCCUGACAUCUCUUCAAGAUGGACCAUAAGCUACAAAGAUGAAAUAAAACCUUUUGUCCCCAA